UUUUUGAGUCAUGAUAAGAGUUGACGUCAACAAUAUUACUGCUUUUAUUAUUUGUUUAUGCUGCUGUUAGUUUGGAUUUGAAUUUAAAUUUACAAUUUGUUAUGCCUCUUAAAGAUCUGAAAAGUAAUGAUGGCUAUUUUUUGAGUAAGUUAUGAAUUGACUUCAAUGUUACUGCUGUUAUAAUUUGCUUAUGUUUGUCAGUUUGGAGCUGAAUUAUCAAACUUUUUGUUAAUGUUAGGAUAAGCUCUGAAAAGUAAUGAUGGCUAUUUUAGCCAUUAAAGUUAUAAUUGAUAUGAAAUGUUAAAAGUGUUCCUAUUGUUAUCAUAUAUAUCAGAGAAAUGUUUGGAACAAGUUUGUUUUCAAAUUAUUGGUGUAUAUAUUUUUAUCUACUUUUAUGAAAAUCAAUUUUUUAGGUACUUAAUGAUCUUGGAAUAUACAUUCCAUUAUAAAAUAGUACAAUUGUUUUUAUAUAUAAAAUCCUGUAGAUCUGAGUUCACCAAUUAUCACUGUUAAUGCUACUGUUUUGUUGGGAAAUUUUUCCAGGAAUUUUUUGUUGUUCUUAUUUUGUGAUA
rnacentral:lncRNA from 1 species